rnacentral:lncRNA from 1 species
AGACACAGAUAGGAGAAGGGCACCGGCUGGAGCCACUUGCAGGACUGAGGGUUUUUGCAACAAAACCCUAGCAGCCUGAAGAACUCUAAGCCAGGUUUAAUUGGUUUCUUUUUCUCGUGGGUAGACUUAAUAAUUUUCUACGUAUUCUGACAAAGAAAUAACCCCGAAGCACGUUCCUAUUUCCCACCUGCUUGUAGUUUCCGGGAUAACCUAAACUCCAGAGAGCUAUAGCAUCCACUCUGUCCUUUCUGCUUUGCACACAGAUGGGGUGGCUGGACGAGAGCAGCUCUUGGCUCAGCAAAGAAUGCACAGUAUGAUCAGCUCAGAGGAGUGGGACCCAUGACUGAGCUGGGAAGGCAGGAUACCUAAACCUGCUCAAGUUUCUAUUGGGAAGAACCAAGAAGCAGGAGGAAUAGAUGUUAGCUAGGCACUAGCAGUAUUUGCUACAACGUGGAUAUUGUUGAACUAUGGGUGUUGACUUUCUUUUCAUGAAGAUAAUAUAUCUGUUUAAAUACUAAUGGGAAAGAAGCUUUCAGAAGAUCAUUAAAUGCAUUAAAACCUGCAGAUGUCCACAUGUCUGUGCCUCUCUUUAGCAGCCUGACUCCUUUGGGUCAGUUAUUCUUAGCCUCGGUAUUUCUAUCUUAUGGCAUCGCAGGUCUAAGAUUAGCUUGUUAGGCGUUAUCAUGCCAUAUGAGUUACCUCCUAAUAUAACUCUACACUGGAAUGAU